rnacentral:rRNA from 1 species
AGCGAACGCUGGCGGCGUGUUUUAGGCAUGCAAGUCGAUCGGCAGCAUGACUGUAGCAAUACAGUUGAUGGCGAGAGGCAGACGGGUGAGUAACGCGUGGGAAUCUACCCAGGGGACUGAGAUAGCCCGGCGAAAGCCGGGGUAAUAUCAGAUGAUACCGAAAGGUCAAAGUCGCCGCAAGGCGACACCCUUGGAUGAGCCUGCGUCCCAUCAGGUAGUUGGCGGGGUAAGAGCCCACCAAGCCGAAGACGGGUAGCUGGUCUGAGAGGAUGGUCAGCCACAAGGGAACUGCGACACGGUCCCUACUCCUACGGGAGGCAGCAGCCAAGAAUCUUCCGCAAUGGACGAAAGUCUGACGGAGCGACGCCGCGUGAGGGAUGAAGGUCUUCGGAUUGUAAACCUCUUUUGUUCGGGAAGAAUAAGUCUGUCAGGAAAUGGGCAGAUGAUGACGGUACCGAAUGAAUAAGCCCCGGCUAAUUACGUGCCAGCAGCCGCGGUAAUACGUAAGGGGCUAGCGUUGCUCGGAAUUACUGGGCGUAAAGGGCGUGUAGGCGGCCGGAUAAGUCGAAUGUAAAAAACCAGGGCUUAACCCUGGGGCUGCGUUCGAAACUGCUCGGCUUGAGUCUGGUGGAGGGUAAUGGAAUUCCCGGUGUAGCGGUGAAAUGCGUAGAUAUCGGGAAGAACACCGAAGGCGAAGGCAGUUACCUAUGCCGAGACUGACGCUGAGGCGCGAAAGCAUGGGGAUCAAACAGGAUUAGAUACCCUGGUAGUCCAUGCCGUAAACGAUGUAUACUAGGAGUUGGUGGUUUCCAUUAGCUCCGUAGCAAACGCAUUAAGUAUACCGCCUGGGGAGUACGGCCGCAAGGUUGAAACUCAAAGAAAUUGACGGGGGCCCGCACAAGCAGUGGAGUACGUGGUUCAAUUCGAUGAUAAACGAAGAACCUUACCAGGGUUUGACAUGUUAUCGCUAGGCGUCGAAAGGCGCUGUUCCCGUAAGGGACGGUAGCACAGGUGCUGCAUGGCUGUCGUCAGCUCGUGCCGUGAGGUGUUGGGUUAAGUCCCGCAACGAGCGCAACCCUUACUUUUAGUUGCUACUCGCAAGAGAGCACUCUAGAGGGACUGCCGCCGAUAAGGCGGAGGAAGGAGGGGAUGAGGUCAAGUCGUCAUGGCCUUUAUAUCCUGGGCUACACACAUACUACAAUGGCUACAACAGCGGGGAGCGAAGGGGCGACCUGGAGCAAAUCCUCAAAAGUGGCCUCAAUACGGAUUGUAGUCUGCAACUCGACUACAUGAAACUGGAAUUGCUAGUAAUCGCGGGUCAGCAAAACCGCGGUGAAUACGUUCUCGGGCCUUGUACACACCGCCCGUCACACCACCCGAGUUGGUUUUUCCUAAAGCUAGUUACCCUAACCGCAAGGAUGGGGCUGGUAAAGGAGGAAUUGGUAAGGGGGGUG